rnacentral:hammerhead_ribozyme from 1 species
AUCCAGUGGACGAGUCUCAAACAGGACGAAAUGUGCAUCCUGGAU